AUUCCAAAUCAUAUUUCAAUUAAGUCCAAAUGUUACAAGUUACUCUAAUAGAGCUUAAAUUAAAAUUAUAAAAAGAUCUUGCUGAUAAUCCCAAAAAAGUAGUUACAUAGUUCUCCAAAAAAAAGGAAGUUUCAAAUUAAAUUUACAUAUUAAAAAAAAACUCCAAAUAAUCCAAAUUUACACAAAAAUCCAAAGGAGCAUUCGAUUAAUUUACAGGUUACAAAAAUAAUCUAAAAUUCUGAAAAUAAUUGAAUGGAGUCUAAUGGUUUGAAGUAGUCUUCAGAGACUUUCUCCAAAGCCAAUGGUCCCUUCAUGUAGUGCCCCAACUCAAAAAGCCAGCGCCCCUUUUCAAUCAAUUCAACAUCACUUCACCUGCAAAUGCAAAACCAAAUUCAAAGUUAAAAAAAAACUGCUUAUCAAAAUAAGCACUUAAAACAAACUGGAAAAUAAACCAUAAAAUAAACGGAUUAUUUGGUGACCCAGUAAACCAAGGAGAACACUCAAGAACACUUUGCAAUAUCCACAUCAACAACCUUAAAUCCAUAAGGUAAUUAUCCCACAAAAUCUGGAAAAAGGAUAACUUAACAAGUUAUCUCAGAACCUCAACAUUCAUCACAUAUAUAACAACAACAAAUUAACAGUAAAAGGGGGAACGUUUUGAUAAAAAUCCAGAAGAAAUUUUCAAAGUUUUUUUUCUCUGUUAACUCCAAAGAGACAACACAGUAAGAGAUUUAUCAUCACAUAUAUAACAACAACAAAUUAACAGUAAAAGGGGGAACGUUUUGAUAAAAAUCCAGAAGAAAUUUUCAAAGUUUUUUUUCUCUGUUAACUCCAAAGAGACAACACAGUAAGAGAUUUUCUCAAAAAAAAACCUAGAACACAACAGCAAACACAGAGCAAAAUUUCUAAGGAAAAUCCUAGAAAGUUAACAGCAACAACCGAGCAAUUUUUUUUCAGAACCCAGAAUAUACAGUAACAAUAUAUUUCGAAAAAAAACCUAAAGCUCAUUUUUUUCAUCAACCGCUUAAACUUAUCACCAGAGUUUGAGCAAGGUUAAGCUAUAAGCUGAAUCUAAAGCAAAGGAGGAGUAGGAGGCAACUCUAAAGGAAUUAGAAGAUAAUUACAUUACCUUCGAGUUUGUCGCCGGAACCACGCCAAAAUCUCUCCGUGUAGGUAGUCUUGAGUUUCUUCUUUCCCUUUUAAUUUCGUCUUGAUAUAGAGCUCUUCUCGUUGAUCCUUUUUCCUUUGGUAAUUUCUUGAGACUCCGUAGAUCUUGGGUUUAAUUUCGUUUUGUGCGAAUUGGGUUUUCUGUUUUAGGGUUUCCGAUUUGGGUUUGUGGUUGGGAUUUUGUUGUUUUUGUGGCCGGAUCCGCAACCGCGAGCGUGAAUAAAGGGGAGUUGGUAUUUGAGAUUUAGGUUUUGAGAUGUUUUAGGGUUUCCGAUUUGGGUUUGUGGUUGGGAUUUUGUUGUUUUUGUGGCCGGAUCCGCAACCGCGAGCGUGAAUAAAGGGGAGUUGGUAUUUGAGAUUUAGGUUUUGAGUGGUGGUUCGCCGAAGAAGAAGGUGGCGCCGCCGCCGUUGGCCGGCAACCGCCAUCUUUUCCGGUAGGUUGAAGUCAGAGGUGUUUAGAAGUUUGCAGAGCUUGUGUUUGCUCUGAGAGGAAGAGAGAGAGAGUUGUUUUUUGACAAAUGAAGCGCUUAAGCGCUUUUCUGCUGGCUUUAGGCGAAAAGGGCUCCCUCAUAUGGAGAAACUUGUUUUCCAGCGGUGGGCCUCCAGUCCAGGCCCAAUUGAGCUUUUAUUUAUUUUAGCACCCCAUUUUCGGAUGGGUGACCCCUGUUCAUUUUAUUUUAUUUUUAUUUUAUUUUAUUAUUAUUUGUUGUAUAUUUCGAUUGGUUGGUUCUUUUUAGGCCCAUACUGAUUUUUUUUAGAAUGUUAAUUAGAAAAUAUUUUAGAAUUUAAUUUGAUUUCUUUUUUUAGGAAUAAUUGUAGAUUAAUUAUAAUUAUAAGGUGAUUUGGAAUUAUUUUAGAUUUUUUAAUUUAAUUUAGAAUAAUUUUAGAUUUUAAUCUUUGAAAAUAUUUUAUAAUUUAAUUAGAUCUUUUUUUAGAAAUAAUUGUAGAUUAAUUAGAAUUAUAAGUUGAUUUAGAAUUAUUUUAGAAUUUUAAUUUAGAAUGAUUUUAGAAUUUAAUCUUUAUUAAUAUUUUCAAAUUAAUAUUUUGGAUAAUAGUUUAGAAUUGAGAUUUUGGAUGGUUUAAUAUUGUUUUGAGUUUUAAUUUAAUGAUACUUUUUUAAAUUGUUUAAACUUUAGUUAUCUGUUUUAGAUUUAAUAUUUUAUUGCAAUUCUCUUGAUUAUUCCAUGUUGAUUUCAAUUAACACCUAACAUUUAACGAUUAACUCUAAUUUUUAAUUACCGCAAUUAACAUCUAACUCUUUUAAAUUCCGCUUCUAACAUUUAUUUUUUAUAUUUACUUUAUAUCAUUGUACAUCCUUCAUCUCAUCUUAAAAUGAACCUAAAAAUGAUAAAGACUUAAAAAAUCAAAAAAGAUUAUAAUUCCCAUGCCAUCAAUUCAAACCAUUUUUUUAAAAAAAAAAAACAAAUAAAACCUCUCGAUUCAAAGUCGAGCCCAUUUUUCAAAACACCUAUGUAAGUCGAUCGCUUGUAAAAGCAUCGCCAUCAACCUCACAUGGCUUACUCUCGGGCUUUCUUACAAUGAGACCCAUUCGGUUUUAAUUAAUCGAUUAAAUGGACCAUUCACUAAAUAAAUUCAAUUCAUUCACAAGAAUGCAAUUUUUAAAACCUCGAUCUGACAUCGAAAGUUAAAUUAAAAUACUUAAUCACAUCUAAACGACACUCCAUUUGAAAAUGAAAAGGGGGAUGGUUUUGAGUUUUCAACUCCUCUCCUCGAUUAUUUGAAUACGAGUUUUCUUACUCGGUUAGUCAAAUGGUCGUCAUUUCUAAUCCAUUUAAGCAAAAACAAAUCAAAUUCUUUUAUAACAAGAAACUAAAAGGGAGAUAACUUUGAGUCUUCAAUUUUUCUCCACGACUAUUUGAAUACAAGUUCUCUUACUUGGUUAUUCAAAUAAUUGUCGUUCCUAUACAAACUUCUAAACCCUAUUAAAUCAAAUUAUUUUCAUAAUAAGCUAAAUGAAAAAGGAGAUGACUUUGAGUCUUCAACUUCUCUCCUCAAUUGUUUGAAUACGAGUUCUCUUACUCGGUCAGUCAAACAAUUGUCAUUUUUUACAAACAUACGACUUAAUCAAAUCAUUUUCACAAAAAUUAUAUGAAAAGGGAGAUGGUCUUGAGUUUUCAAUUCCUCUUCUCAAAUGCUUGGAUAUGAAUAGUCUUACUCAGCCAUUCAAGUACUUGUCGUUUAUUCGUCAUCCAUUCAAAACACCUUAAUCAUUAUUAAAUCCUUUUACAAUUAAGGAUGAAAAAGAAAGCGGUCUAGAGUCUUCUAUUCCCUUUCCCGAUUGUUAGGAUACGAGUUGUCUUACUCGACCAUCCAACCAAAAUACAAAACAUCAAACAUAUCAACUCAACUUGUCACCCCCGUGUGACCAAAACUCUUUUCAGAAAGAACAUUGUUUAAUCCCUUCUAAUGAGCACAACAAACUAGUGUUUAAGCCUCCGCCGAGAGUAGACAAGCCAACGUUUAGCCUUUAGAACGCGAUCUAAACAGCUGUUCGAUAAAAGACACCAACCAGUCGUAGUUCCCCGAACUACGAAUGCUCUGAUUUCCUUAUUAUGCCAUAAGGAUACGUAGGCAGAAGAUUGCUAUAUCUUCGCAAGCACACUAAUAAAAAACCUCCCCUUUUCCCUUUUUUGAGGUUCUCAUCCAUUUCUAUUUUUAAUAAUUUUAUAACCUAAAGAUAACAAACAAACAUAAAUUAACACUCGAAACGCAAACUAGAACUAAAAGGUUCCCGUUGAGUACAACGGACGUAAGAGGUGCUAACACCUUCCCCUUACGUAAUCCACUCCCGAACCCAAAUAUAGUUGCGACGACCAUUAUUCUAUUCCCUACAGGUUUUAUCGAUAUUUUCCUAUUCCUUCAUUGGGAUAAAUAAAGUUCGGUGGCGACUCUGUUCGAACGUAAUUUUUUCCGCGACCAUCUUGCUUGUUUGUUUGUUAUUUUUAUUCUGUUAUAAUUAUUCUGUUGUAAUUAUUGUAUUGUGAUUUAUUGACUAUGUCUUAUUUGGGGCUCUCUGUUAGGGGUUCUUUGUGAGAUAGACUCUCCACCCGAGUCUGAGAAAAACCAUAAGAUUAAGUUGGUGGUUGCAUAGUGGGCGCCCACAAGGAGUCUUCCUUGUUGGGAAGAUACGAAGACCCCGCCUAGAGGAGAUUCUCUUGAGAUAUUAUUGCCCGACAAAACCAUAAGAUUAAGUUGGUGGUUGCAUAGUGGGCGCCCACAAGGAGUCUUCCUUGUUGGGAAGAUACGAAGACCCCGCCUAGAGGAGAUUCUCUUGAGAUAUUAUUGCCCGACGAGUUUUCGUCAUGACGAUAGUAUUCUCAAGUUGGAUCAAUGACUCUAGGGACCUUUUAACCCACUAUAUCCAGCGGUUAUGUAGUAUUAACCUACGAAGUUUCAGACUUGUUGGUUUAAUACGAAAGCCCCAAUCAAAUGAGAUUCCUUGGACGUAUUACUAUCUUACAAUAAUAUUUCCAACCUCGAUCUAUGACUCUGAGAGCCUUGUUAGAACCCUGGACUCGAGAGUCGUGUAGUAGAAUCCUUAUCGAGUUUUCCUUGUUUGGAUAAUACGAAGACCUCACCUAGACGAGAUUUUCUUAAGGAUAUUAUUGUCCGACAAAUCUUCGUCACGGCAGUGACGUCCUCAAGAAAUAUCCAUGACUCUGGGAACCUACCAACUGUAGAGCCUACCCAUGGGGUUCCAUUAAUCAGAGAUACUCGUCAUUUAUCCGUUAUUCUGAUCCAUCUGAGAACGCUUUGAACUUGUGAUCCUGAACAUGUCACUAUACUCAUGCACAUAUCAUUGCAUUUGCAUUCAUCAUCAUACAUUUCAUAUCAUUUUUCACCAAAAAAUAAAUACCAAAAAACUCAUCCAUCCUUCGUCCAUAACCUACAGUUGAUUUCUCGACACUCAUAUCAGACUUGAAGUAGCUCUUAGAAGACCAUGGAUCCAUUGGAGCAAAGUCACAUUGCAUUAAGAGGAGAUGUUGACUCAAUGAAAAAUCAGCUAGACCAACUUGUGGAAGCUAUGAUAGUUUUAGCAAAGAAGGAAGACAACAUUCAGCAGGUUGUAGUUGUUGAGAAUGUUAUGCUAGCUACAGUAAAUGGCCUUACCCAACCUCGGCUUGUGCAAACCCCAGUUGAUAGCUCCACGGUACAAGAACGUCAUGUUGUUCAAGAUUCCUCACGUCAUGAUGCUGUUGAGUAUCACAAUUUUGCAUUCUCCGUGCCAGAUUCCCAUGGAAAAAGCCUAGUGGUUAAUGUUGAACAACCACAAAAUGAUGAGAUUGCUAAAAGAUGUUGCUUGCUAGAGAAAAGACUCAAGGCCAUAGAAGGACAAGAUACUCUUGAAUUGAAUACUUUAGACAUGUGUUUGGUACCUGGCCUGGUUAUACCCGCAAAAUUCAAAGCACCAGAGUUUGAGAAGUACAAAGGGGAUGGCUGUCCAAAGCACCAUUUGGUGAUGUUUUGUCGAAAAAUGACCUCUCAUGCCCACGAUGAUAAGUUGAUGAUUCACUGUUUCCAGGACAGUUUGAUUGGGGCAUCAUUAAGUUGGUACAUGAAGUUAGAAAGGAAUCAUAUUCAAUCAUGGUUGGACCUAGCUAACGGCUUCUUGAAGCACUACAAAUAUAAUUCGGACAUAGCUCCUGAUUGCAUACAACUAAGAGCCUUAUCUAAAGAGAGCAAUGAAUCCUUCAGAGGGUAUGCCCAAAGAUGGAGAGAGUUAGCGGCUUGCGUUGAGCCACCUCUCUUAGACAAAGAAUUAAUGGAAUUAUUCAGAGACACCCUGCAAAGUCCAUACUUCGAAAGGAUGAUUAGCAGUGCAGCAUCAGACUUCGCUAACUUAGUGACAAUUGGAGAAUGCAUCGAGAGUGCCCUAAAAAGGGGAAGAAUCCAAGGAGCCUCGAGCAACCAAGCUAGCGAGACAGAAUCCCUCAGCGAUUCCCAAAAGGAAGAAGAUGAUGAAAUAAAUGUAGUCAUGGCAGAUGUUGAGUAUUCUCACGAUGCACCGGCCUUACCUUAUGGUUCUUCACCUUCUCAACAAUCACCAUUUCCAACACCACGUUAUCUUUAUUGGCAACCGACAAGGCCUAAAGCACCAUCCAAGCAACCAUGGACUGUCCAUCAUACAAAUCAAAGAUCUCGUGGUCAAGGAUAUCAGAAUUAGCAUCUGAACCAGCAUAGGCCUCAAAACAAUCUGAAAAGAAGGAAUGCUCCUCUUGAUCUAAUUCCUAUGUCAUACAGUCAACUUCUGCCAUAUCUGAUUUAAAGCUCGCUGGUGGAGCCCAAGUCUCUCAGGCCAUUGUCAGAACCAUACCCACCUGGAUAUGAUCCCGAUGUGCAAUGUGGAUAUCAUGCUGGGUCAAUAGGGCACUCGACCGAAGACUGCAACGCUUUCAAAGCCAAGGUUCAACAGUUGAUUGACAAAAAGUACAUAUCUUUUCCAGACGGAAAUCUGUUGGUGCACGUCAACCUCUCGUCUGAAUAAGUUCGAAAUUCAACAGUUGAUUGACAAAAAGUACAUAUCUUUUCCAGACGGAAAUCUGUUGGUGCACGUCAACCUCUCGUCUGAAUAAGUUCGAAGACUUCAAGGGAGUAUCUCAUAAGGCCAGUGGUUCAAACAGGAAGACAUCCUUAACAUUGGCAAUCACUAGACUGAUUUGUUUUCAUUUGCAUUUAUAAUUUCCUUGCUGUUGAAUGCUACUUGCUUUUAAAUUUUGUUGUCUUUAAUGGUAAUAUUAAUGAAGUAAUGACGCAUGUUUUUCACAAAUUAUCUCGCGUUCGCUCAUUUUUCUUCUCUCAUAUUAAAAAAAAUACAUCCAUGUUCUCCACCUCACCUCGUUUAUCAAACUGUUGUUUUAGCAAAAUUGGAGGGAGGAUGACGAAAAUAAAAUACCCAUAAUUGCUGACUGUAUGCUUUCGGAUAAAAUCCUACUGAUGAUGUACAAGCAUUGUUUCAAAUUCCCAAACACUGGAGAGAUAAGGAGUUAAUCCCUAGUCAACCACUUCGAGCCUAGAAGUAGGAGUUUCUUUCGGAUCAGGAUAAAAUCCUACUGAUGAUGUACAAGCAUUGUUUCAAAUUCCCAAACACUGGAGAGAUAAGGAGUUAAUCCCUAGUCAACCACUUCGAGCCUAGAAGUAGGAGUUUCUUUCGGAUCUAAAAAACCCUUACGUUAAACCUGGGGCAGGGUAGUGUUCAGUUGAUCUGACUACACAUUCAAAUUACAAGACGAAGCAUCCCGUCUGUAGAUCAACCACAUGAUAUUAUUUGCACACAUCCCGAAGCAUAGAAGGAACCUUGAAAAAUUCAAAGGUUAUGUUGGAUCGUUCUUCAAAUGACCAAUGACUUGGCAGUCACAAUUCUAAAAAAUAAAUUAAAAAAGCCCGCUGAGUUGAAAACCCGAAAGGGCGACUCAGGCAAAAAUGGGUAUCCCGGUGGAUCGAAAACCCGAAAGGGCGGUCUAGGAAAAAGUUAGGGAUUAAUUCCAAGGCAAAGAGUUGUACUUACAGACAUCUGACAUACCCUCGAAGACAAAGAAUCGAUCUACCUCACUUUUCAAAAGCAAAGUGCUCGAGCUAUCAAAGACAUAAGGAUUAUAGCAGUGUGGAAACUCAAUAAGACCUCAAUUCUCAUUGCCAUUUUGUUUUCUAUGCACAUCAAUUACCUCAUUAAGGAAUUGCGUCUUUAUGUACAAUCACCCAUUUAAGGGUCAAAUCAAUAAAAGAGAAUUUUUCUCAACAAAGUGUGCAUUUUGUUUUCUAUGCACAUCAAUUACCUCAUUAAGGAAUUGCGUCUUUAUGUACAAUCACCCAUUUAAGGGUCAAAUCAAUAAAAGAGAAUUUUUCUCAACAAAGUGUGCCCAAAUCAUUUUUUUAUUUUAUCUGUUUGUUUGCAAAUAACCUUUUAUUUUUGAUAAACAUCACUUUUAAAAAACUAUUGGAGAAAAUAAAAUGCAUGUUUCAAUAAAGUGGUAAAAUUGCUUUUGAAACAGUAAGCGGACGAAUCCUUUAGUCCUCAAGAUUCACUCUUGUCUUUCAUAAAGGUGCAGGACUGAUUGCAGACAAUUAUGUUCCUUUCAACUAAUGAUUCAUACCUCUCAUAAAUGUACUCACGAUAUAGCCAGACCGGGGCAAGGCUCCAUCACCUUUCCAACAAAAACAUUGAUAAAUCAUGGACGGAGUAUCAUGUGUCGAAAAAUCUGAACCUUUCAAUGACUUGGAACAACCCAAAUAUAUUCCCAAAACCACCUAGCAGGGGCAUUAAAAUUUGAUUUCCAUUGAUAGCCCCAAUGAUAAAAAAAUCUAUGUUGUUGGCAUCAUACCUCAAAUCGAAAUGUAUUAACCGGGGCAUAUCCAAUUACCCAGUUGCAUUCCUACAUGCAUCACAAGCAUCAUUUCAUGCAUAAUUUCUUGUCAAACAAGGAAAUAAAAAAAAACAGUCAUAUCAAUCGUCAACAUACUCAUGCAUAACACUCCCACAAAAUGGGAAUUUCAACAAAAUAAAGAUCAUUCGCAUUCCUACAUGCACAGCCAAAUAUCCCCAGCAAUGGCAUACUUGCAUACAUCCCAUGCAUCAUCCCAUACAUGGAAUUCCCACCUAAAGUGGGGACAUUAUACAAAAAAACAAAUAUAAAAUAACAGGAUCCAAGGUCAUUCGUAUAUGUCUCAGACAUUCCUCAUUUCCAAAUAAAGUUAUUACCCUACAUAGGCUUGUAGGGUUAUUUCUCAGCAAAUCAUUUUUCAACUUUUUAAAAUAAUGAUAUUCCCAACAUUUUUCUUUACAGUCAUUGCUCUCCAAGCAGAGGUUACCCUAAAAAGUCUCUUAUGAGCUUUUCCCUACACGAGCAUUUCUAGUAAAUCUCCAAAAGGAGUCUUUUUAAAAAAUUCCCCAACAGACGAAUAUUCGAGAUACUGCUUCAUUUAUCUGAAGAAUCUCAUUUCUCUGUUUGAGAUACUGCUGCUAAAGUAUCCUCGGAAAGUCUUAGAUUCAAUUAAAGUAUUUUUCCCUUGCUGGAAUAUUUUAAUUCUAUCAUAUAAGAUGUUGUUUCGACUCGAUAUAGAGAAUCUCCUUUUUACUGUUCGAGAUACUGCUUCAUCAAUAUGAAGAGUCUCAUUUCAGAUAUUUUUUAGAGAUACUGCUCUAAGUAUCCUCGAAAAGUCUUAGAUUCAAUUAAAGUAUUUUUCCCUUGCUGGAAUAUUUUAAUUCUAUCAUAUAAGAUGUUGUUUCGACUCAAUACAAAGAAUCUCAUUUUUACUGUUCGAGAUACUGCUUCAUCAAUAUGAAGAGUCUCAUUUCAGAUAUUUUUUAGAGAUAUUGCUCUAAGUAUCCUCGGAAAGUCUUAGAUUCAAUUAAAGUAUUUUUCCUUGCUGGAAUAUUUUAAUUCUAUCAUAUAAGAUGCUGUUUCGACUCGAUACAGAGAAUCUCAUUUUUACUGUUUGAGAUACUGCUUCAUCAAUAUGAAGAGUCUCAUUUCAGAUUUUUUUAGAGAUGCCGCUCUAAGUAUCCUCGGAGAGUCUUAGAUUCAAUUAAAGUAUUUUUUCCUUUGCUGGAAUAUCCUAAUUUUAUCAUAUAAGAUGUUGUUUCGACUUGAUACAAAGAAUCUCACUUUUACUGUUUGAGAUACUGCUUCAUCAAUAUGAAGAGUCUCAUUAUCAGAUUUUUUAGAGAUACUGCUCUAAUAUCCUCGGAGAGUCUUAGAUUCAAUUAAAGUAUUUUCCCCUUGAUUCAUCAAUAUGAAGAGUCUCAUUAUCAGAUUUUUUAGAGAUACUGCUCUAAUAUCCUCGGAGAGUCUUAGAUUCAAUUAAAGUAUUUUCCCCUUGCUGGAAUAUUUUAAUUCUAUCAUAUAAGAUGCUGUUUCGAUUCGAUAUAGAGAAUCUCAUUGCUAUUAUUUGAGAUGCUGCUUCGUCAAAAUAAGAGUCUCAUGCCAGAUUUCCUUUAUAUUAUUCUAGAAUCCUGGAAAGUCUUGAGAUUUAGCUAGGGAUGCCAUUCCACAUAUCUCGACUAAGAUAAAUAAAAUACUAUUCUGAUGACUCACAGAAAGUCUUGGUUGUUCCAUUUUAUUGUGGGAUAAUGUCUUUUGCCAUUUCUCACCGCAUUUUCUUCCUGUAUUUUCUUCCUGUCAUUCCCUAGGACAAAAUUUGGGUCUUCUUAUAUUUAAUUAUCUCCCACCGCGAACGCAUAAAGACUGUUGUUAUUCUUACUUUCCGGUUUGAGGUAAUUCAAUAGGGGCAGCUGUCAUACCCCAAUUUUGUCCGGGUAAGGAAAAAUCUUCAACCAGCAUUCACUAUCCAAUGCUAUAAGACAUAUAUCUUAUCUUAAGACAUAAGCUUCAUCUUAAGGUUUCUCAGCCCUUUGGUGACAUCAAGUCUUCAAGGACACCUUCAUAUGUUAAAGAUUCCUUAAGCAAAUAUCUGUUGCGUUUGUCUUACUGAAGCAUGGGAUGGUAUGUGCAUUUUUGGCUAACAAAGCCCAUUUUGGUUUACCCGUGAGAUCUCUUUGUUUCAAAGGCCUAUUCGCAUAAACGUGUCCAUAAUUUAAAAUGUGGUUUGAAUCUUUUUACAUUACUAAUUCAAAGUCCAUUUGAUUAUUGGUAAGGUAUUAAGAGCCAUGGAUAUUUUUAUGAUCACUCAUCAUUAAACCCAUUUGCACGUCUCAAAUACAUCUGCCAAAUCUCUAAACCAUUCAUAAAAAAUCCUUAAAAUAAACUUGUAUCUUUUCUAAGUGAGUAUGUUGGUUUAAGAUUAAGAUAUCACAUGCACGAGUAUUUAAUUGGUUUUUAGGAUCAAAGUUUGAAAGUGCAACAUUUUUGUGACCUGUUUUAUCUUAGGAAUUUUUGGCACAUUUUAUUUUUGAUAAUAUUAAUGUGUUAAAAUCAAUCAAAUUAAAAGUCCAUUAAAUUGCAUUGUUGAGCCCAAUCCAUUUUCAAUUUAAAUUAUAGUAAAUUUUCUUUUGAUUAAUACUAUUAGAGUGUUAAGGCAAGGUUUAGAAUUUAAAAAAAAAAAGACUAAUUGCGCAAAUCAUGUUCCAAAUAAUGUUCCAAGUGAUAUUCCAAAUCAUAUUUCAAUUAAGUCCAAAUGUUACAAGUUACUCUAAUAGAGCUUAAAUUAAAAUUAUAAAAAGAUCUUGCUGAUAAUCCCAAAAAAGUAGUUACAUAGUUCUCCAAAAAAAAGGAAGUUUCAAAUUAAAUUUACAUAUUAAAAAAAAACUCCAAAUAAUCCAAAUUUACACAAAAAUCCAAAGGAGCAUUCGAUUAAUUUACAGGUUACAAAAAUAAUCUAAAAUUCUGAAAAUAAUUGAAUGGAGUCUAAUGGUUUGAAGUAGUCUUCAGAGACUUUCUCCAAAGCCAAUGGUCCCUUCAUGUAGUGCCCCAACUCAAAAAGCCAGCGCCCCUUUUCAAUCAAUUCAACAUCACUUCACCUGCAAAUGCAAAACCAAAUUCAAAGUUAAAAAAAANUUUUUGUGACCUGUUUUAUCUUAGGAAUUUUUGGCACAUUUUAUUUUUGAUAAUAUUAAUGUGUUAAAAUCAAUCAAAUUAAAAGUCCAUUAAAUUGCAUUGUUGAGCCCAAUCCAUUUUCAAUUUAAAUUAUAGUAAAUUUUCUUUUGAUUAAUACUAUUAGAGUGUUAAGGCAAGGUUUAGAAUUUAAAAAAAAAAAGACUAAUUGCGCAAAUCAUGUUCCAAAUAAUGUUCCAAGUGAUAUUCCAAAUCAUAUUUCAAUUAAGUCCAAAUGUUACAAGUUACUCUAAUAGAGCUUAAAUUAAAAUUAUAAAAAGAUCUUGCUGAUAAUCCCAAAAAAGUAGUUACAUAGUUCUCCAAAAAAAAAAGGAAGUUUCAAAUUAAAUUUACAUAUUAAAAAAAAACUCCAAAUAAUCCAAAUUUACACAAAAAUCCAAAGGAGCAUUUGAUUAAUUUACAGGUUACAAAAAUAAUCUAAAAUUCUGAAAAUAAUUGAAUGGAGUCUAAUGGUUUGAAGUAGUCUUAAGAGACUUUCUCCAAAGCCAAUGGUCCCUUCGUGUCGUGCCCCAACUCAAAAAGCCAGCGCCCCUUUUCAAUCAAUUCAACAUCACUUCACCUCCAAAUGCAAAACCAAAUUCAAAGUUAAAAAAACUGCUUAUCAAAAUAAGCACUUAAAACAAACUGGAAAAUAAACCAUAAAAUAAACGGAUUAUUUGGUUACACAGUAAACCAAGGAGAACACUCAAGAACACUUUGCAAUAUCCACAUCAACAACCUUAAAUCCAUAAGGUAAUUAUCCCACAAAAUCUGGAAAAAGGAUAACUUAACAAGUUAUCUCAGAACCUCAGCAUUCAUCACAUAUAUA
rnacentral:lncRNA from 1 species